CCCAAACCAGUUUCAGAGUCUUCUAUCCUGGAGAUUGAAUUGAGAAGUAAUUCAAUUAUCUCCCAGGACAGACACAAGACUCCAUUAUGCACAUGGUGAGCACAAAGCAUUAAAAUAUUAUAAAAUACACAAAGUCACAUUUUAUACAUAAAACACAGACAUGUCACAUAUCCCCAGAUAGCUGGGAUCUGAGCGCACAAAACUACCGAAUAGCGCUCAGAUCCUAUUCACACAGUUCAAUUGCCAUGGAGCCGAAGUCUUUAACUACACAAAUGGGCUCCAUGGUAUAGCUAUCUGGGUUAACAC